CUAUACAUGUCUUUCAUGAUAGAAUGGUAGAAUUUUGAGUUAACAUACAAAAUUAUGUUUUCCGUUUUGAUUCUGUUAAAUUUAAUCGUCGCAACAUCAACCACUGAUAGUUGGCAUCAACUUGAUGGCAUCGAAUAUUACAUUGAGUAUACAGCAGUGGAUGGAGUUGAUAAAGCUAACGAAAGUUGUCAAUCAAUGGACGCCAUUCUAGCUGUUGUUAAUUCUCGACGAAUUCAAGAUUUUCUCGUGAAAAAUAUUGAUACGACUAAGUUAACAGGUAAACCAUAUUCCUUCUUCAUUGGUUUGAGUCGUACCAGUCCAACUACAUUGCAAUGGUCGGAUGGAACAACAACUGAUACAUCAGUCUUCACUUAUUGAGAUAACAACGAUGACAUUUAUGAUUCCACCAAACUUUGUGUUACUAUGGGAUGGGAUGGAGCUUUUGACGAAUCAUUUAAGUGGAAGAUCGUACGUUGCGGCGAUACCCAUCGUUUUAUUUGUCAAAAAAAUGCUAAAACAACUACAGAAGCAACAACUGAAGUACAAACGACAACAAACAGUGAAAGGGGGUAUACCGAGACUACUUCUGGUAUAGAACAUAAGGAAACAAGUGGUUCGAGUGCGGGUCUUUAUGCAGCUACAAGUGUUGGGGCAGUCAUUGUCAUCGUAUUAUGUGGAGUAAUCUGCAUAAAGUAUUACAG